rnacentral:ncRNA from 2 species
GCUUUCAUUUGAAUUAAUGGUAAACAUUAAAAAUGUUUUGAAAAGGGAAUUGAGUGUAAAUCUUGAGCUGUCCCAGCAACUGUAAUGAUGAUGAACAUUGUAUUUACUCACUGAAAAAAUUUUUUUGGGAAGAGACAAUUAGUAAAACGAUUCUAAGCCAGUAGACCUGCCGUUAACUCCUGACGAAA